rnacentral:lncRNA from 1 species
ACAUACUAAGUUCUAGUAGAUUUUAUUUAAAUGGCAAGUAUAGAAAAUAAUUUUUGCUUGGAUUCUAGUGAAACAAUAUCUUGGAGUGAAGAAAGUAAUUUUUGCUUGGGUUCUAGGGAAACAAUAUCUUGGAAUUUUGAAAAUUGCUCUUUGUUAAAUCAGGUAUUAAACAUUACUAGAAAUUUUAACUCACAAGGUUUGUACAAAUUUAUUAGGCUGCUCAACACCAUGGCUUGCAUGUACGUAGUCUCCAGUUUGAAGAUGCUCAGCAGAAAGUAGUAACAAAUAGGCAUGUACAAAACACUUCAGGUAUUGAAAAUAGUUCUAGGCCACUUGCCUCUUCUGCAGAUAGAGGGGGCCCCAAAUCACUAUCCUUGGAGACACCAUCAACUCCCAUUCGUCGGGUUGGUAUGACCCAGCAUACGGAUUAUCCUGGAAAUAGUGGGAAUUAUAGCAUAAAUUUUCCAAAGCCCGUAGGUAUUGGCUUGCACCUAAAUAGCAUUGUCAGCACUACGCAAGCAGGAACUGGAGAAACUGUAAUUGUGAAAUCAUCUGAAAAGGGUAUUUUAAGUAUACGGAAUGAGCAACAAGUGACUACUCUGAGCUCUCAUCUAUCUGAAAACUCAAAGAACUCUUCAUAUUUGUCUGUGUUGGAGAGUGUUCUCGGAAGUCCUGAUGAAAGUAGGCGUGAAAGUGAUCAUGCCUUGGUGGCAGCUAAUUCUGCUAUUUCUGUGUCCACUUAUGACGCAAAACCUUUGGACAACCCUAUGGUCUGUAAUCCAAUUGAGGAUCAAUCAACUCCAGUUAACAAGAGGAAGUCUAACGCUGGAAAUGCUGAUGAUGCAGAGGAGUUUAACAAGUCAAGCCCCAAAAGGAAGAGGCAAGCCUACAACUUAUCUUAUGAAUAAUGAGUUUUAUUAGUUGUCUCCAUUUUUACUACAUUAUUUUAGCUGCAAUUUUUCCAGGAAGAAAACACCCGAGUCCAAUGAUGAUUACAGUAGCAAACUUUGCAACUGCAAGAAGUCUAAAUGCUUGAAGCUGUAAGCGCAUAAAAUGUUUUCUUACAAAUUUAGAUUUACACUUCUAUCACGUGCUUUUGUAAUUUGUUUCCUUGUAGUUACUGUGAUUGCUUUGCUGCUGGAAUAUAUUGUGCGGAACCUUGUUCUUGCCAAGGGUGCUAUAACAGGCCUGAAUAUGAGGAUACGGUUCUAGAGACACGCCAACAAAUUGAAUCUCGCAAUCCUCUGGCAUUUGCUCCAAAGAUAGUACAGAACUUCAUUUAUCCAUCUUCAAGCAUUUGUGGGGUAUUGAGGCAUCGAAAUUUAUAAUUUUGCUGUACAACAGUGCAAUGUUAACUGAAUUAUUAAGUUGAAAUGUUCACAGGAAGAUGAGACUCAGUUAUCAAAGCCCUCCAUAAGGCACAAAAGAGGGUGCAAUUGCAAGAAGUCGAUGUGCCUCAAAAAGUACUGUGAGUGCUAUCAGGUACGUGGGUGUGCUUAUGGGCAUGAUUAUCUACGUUGUUUUUUCGUGGGGUUGGGGCUUAGAACCUCUGAGUCAUGCUAAGUACUACUUAAUUGCAUUUGCUCUUAUAAAAUGAGUUUUUUUACCUUAUGAUAGGCAAAAGUUGGUUGUUCUGAUGGAUGUCGAUGCGAAGGAUGUAAAAAUGACUAUGGCCAAAAGGGAGGUAUGAUUUGCAUUUGAAGUUCUGUUAUCACAUUGCAUGAGAUUCUACUUGUUAAUACUCAGGAGACUUGAGGAAUAGCUAUUAAUGUGUCUGAACAGGCAAAUAAGACUAUAAGAAUAUGAAUUGCUCUCUAUGGAAAUGACCUGGAGAUGCUCCCUAUAUAUCUAAGUAGAAAAAUAUGCUGCUUGCUUAGCAGGUUUAGCUUUGUUUGAACACUGUUAAAUCUGGACUAGUUUUCUUAUGUGUUUCUUAUUGCCUCUAUUUUAUUUUAUUUAUUUAUUUAUUUUUCAGUCUGUAUAAGGUUUUGAAUUUGGGGGUACCAAUGAGAGUAUAAUGACAAGUACGAAAAUAGAUAUUUUCUUGUACUCCAACAAAGUGAUAUAUAGCAAUUUUAAGUUAUUAUAAAGUAUAUCUCUGAACUUUUUGUGGUUUCAUUUCUAUUUGAACUGGAUGCUCCAUCUUUCAGAAUAUGGCAUGGAUAACGUCGUGGGCAUGCAAGGUUCUGAUGAAACAACAGAUGGCUCCUCUGUUGAAAAACUUGAAAUGGUGGGGUCUGGAAAUGCUUUGUAUCAUACUGAGCUAAGCAAUCCUCAUAAUUUGACUCCUCUGACACCAUCAUUCCAAUACUCAGAGUAAGAUUAGUUCUUUCUAGAUACAUUUCGAUUCCCAUGCACUUAAUUUCUGGUUAAAUGAUUAGCUAGGUACUUGAAAUUUGAAAUAGCUUUGUGGGCAAAUAUCUUUCCUUUUUCUCCUGAAAUUGUGCAGCCAGGGAAAAGGUGCAUCAAAAGCUUGGUUCUCUUCUGGAAAAUACUUCCAUUCACCAGAAUCUGGUCCCACCUUUGGGGCACCAUGCAUCACGUUCCCAAGGUCUCCUGGGAAUGUGUAUAAUUCUGAUAUGAUCUCAGAAUCUUCUAAAGAAAUUCUGGAUCUAGAUUCUUUUGAUCAUGAACUAGAUUACCACAAAGCAGAAGCGGUCAAUGACUUCUCAUUUGGGCACCAUGGACCUGGCAAUAAGGAGCUUCUUGCUGGUCCGCUAAAUGCAGGAGAAUCGGAAAACAAUUGGAAAGUUCAACCAUUUUCUGGAAGUGGACAUUUUUCUCCAGCAAGCUCCCUUCGUUGGCGUGGUUCACCGAUCACCCCUAUGGCUCAGUUUAGUGGGACUAAACUUCCUCAAGCUGCUGACUAUUAUGAUGGUUUACACAACAUUCUGGAAGAUGACACACCAGAGAUUCUGAAGGACACUCCUAACCCACUCAAUGCUGUGAAAGUAAGAUCUCCAAAUAAGAGGCAAGUUUCUCCCCCUCAUGAACAUUCGCUUGAGCUGGGUUCAACGUCAUCAGAAGGCCUGAGAAUUUCUCGCAAGUUCAUACUGCAAGCCGUUCCCUCAUUCCCACCUCUUACGCCUUGUGUUGAAUCUAAAAACGCUAGACAAAAAAAGACAUAAUCCGCAGAAUUGUAGCAACAACAGCAUAUGAGAUGAAGCAUAUGAGGUAAGUGUUGACAAUUACAUCGUGGGAGAAUGGAUGUUAUGCCCAGCAGGUUUUUUUGAGCAUGAUUUCACAAUGUUAUCCUGUUAUUUCACCAUUAGCACGUCUGUUUCUCUUCAGGACCUGCUCUAUACCCUCAAAUGGUUUUUCAUCCAUAUCAAUGAAAGCAACCUUUAGGUCACUAUAAUCUGCCAGGUAUAGGCAUUACUUGCAACAUGUUUGGUAGAAAGUAUUGGACAGCUUUAACAUGAUCAAGAAAGAAAAAGAUAAGAAACUAAAAUCAUUCAGGUUCAAUACUGCGGACUAAACAUGUACUUUGGAGCAUAAGCUCAAUUCAUCUUCUAAUCCUGCUUUUUAAAUGUCCUCAUUAGAAACCGAAGUUGCAACGCUUUUCGAGGCUCCAAAUACAAAAAUGAAAGAAAGCCUCAAGUAGAAUGGAAGAUUUCCAAAUGUACAGCAUCCUGUCCAACCCCCUUCAUGUUCAUACUUUCUAGAUGUUAAACAGAUGCUGCAUGCUGCUAUACUCUAUUGGUUAGGAAAAAAACAAGUCGGCCUUUUUGAUUUUCCAUGACGAUGAAUACCAUGUUCUGAGGGAAAGAGACUUGUAUUUUUUUGGCAUUUAAUUUCAAUGAGUACAUUCUCUAAUAAUAAAAUUUGAGCCUUGACUCAAGUCA